CGUGGAUUAGGCAUGCAAGUCGAGCGGCAAGGUUUUUCGGAAGACCCUAGAGCGGCGGAAGGGAUAGGAACAUAUGGAUACAUGCCUCCUAGGCCUGGAUAGCGUCUGGAAACGGGCGAUAAUACAGGAUGAGGUCUUCGGACCAAAGGUGCGAUUCCCCUAAGAGAUUGGUCCAUAUCCUAUUAGCUAGUUGGUAAGGUAACGGCUUACCAAGGCGAUGAUGGGUACGGGGCGUGAGAGCGCGACCCCGAUCACUGGGACUGAGACACUGCCCAGACGCCUACGGGCGGCUGCAGUCGAGAAUCUUCGGCAAUGGACGCAAGUCUGACCGAGCGACGCCCGCGUGUAUGACGAAGGUCUUCGGAUUGUAAAAUACUGUCGAUAGGGCGGAAGUUUAGAGGGGCGCUCCCUUCUAUUUGACCUAUCUUUUGAGGAAGGACGGGCUAAGUUCGUGCCAGCCGCCGC
rnacentral:rRNA from 1 species